rnacentral:lncRNA from 1 species
UAUAAAAUAAUAAUCAAAGUAAAACACUAUUACUUGUAUAUCUCAGAUAUUGAAUGCACAGAUAGAUAGAUAUAUGCCUCAGAAACUUGAAUCAUGUAUGAAAUGCUCAGAAAAUUUGGUUCCACAACCUAUUUUAGCCAGAAUUUCAAAAGUGUCAGUCAUCAACAAAAAGGUUAAGUCACCUUCGAGUAAGACCAUUUUGUAAGAUAUGAAGACCUAUUUCUAUUUCCUAUAUUACUCACCAUUUGUAGCAACCAGUUUCACAAUUGCUUCCCAAUCAAGGAAUUCUUCUAACAUCUUACAAGUUCCAUAAUGGAACAAACUCCUCUUCUUUGAAUCUCGGUAAACGGGUUCAUCGUCUAACCUGUCCGACCUUCCUUUCGGCCGUGAACCGGACACAGCACCGGUCCGGAACAAGUACCAGAACCGCUAGUCCAUUAAACCGGG